ACCUUCAAAUCGAGACCGUACCGGACGUUUCUUAGCGAACAUUUUUACUUUUAUAUAUAUAUUAAAGUAUAUAUAUGUACACAUAUAUAUGUAGAGAUAUAUAUACAGUUUGCUGCCAUAAAAUGAAAACCCAAAUAACAGACAUAAAUCAUUUUGCUUUCUUUCGCAUACUCGACAUUCUGAAGGAAAACUGUGAAACACAGCAUGGCGAUGAAACUGAGGACAUCAUCAAAUACGCUGAUAUCCUUAAUUUCGCUACCGCAAGCUUUAAAUUUACACGAAUCGUUAGGGACUGGGAUAAAAAUUUCUACACACGUUUGGCGAUACAUAAGUUGUAUGUAGCUCCGCGCAGAAAUAUAACCAUAAGCCUUGACGCGAUGUAUAAAACUCUAAAUGCAGAAACAGAGGAAGGAAGAAAACAUUUGGUGAACAUCAUAACUAGUGUCGUAUCAAAUCCCAGUCUUCGAAGACUUAAACUGAAUAAUCUUGACGCAUUCUUUUACAAGGAGCACUCGAGUUUCGCUGAUGAAAUUUUAAAGAUAUUGCAAAUCAAAUGUAACAGCAAACCAAUUGAGUUAAUUCUUAAUAUACCAGGUCGUGAAAUACGUAACCUUCAUGGCUUUCGAAAUAUCUCCAAGCUCAUCCUAACGGCAUCUAUUGAAAUUUCUGACCUUGAGAAAUUUUGCCUUUAUAACCCUAAAUUGAGUACCUUGGAAGUGAAUCAAAGUCACUUUUCCGACCAUGGAAAGCUAGCUCAAAUCGUUCCCCACUGCUCAAAUUUAAAGAAUUUCAAAUUUAUACUGGAUGAUAAUGCAAGGGAUAAUGAUUACGUCAGACUAUCGCGUUUAAACAGGCUACAAAAAUUGAAAAUUCUGCUGCCUGAAAAAAAUGAAAAUUAUAUGGAAAUUGACAUUGAAUCGCACGAAGAAGAAGAUAUGGGCAUGUACUCCGAGGAAAUUGGAGCAGUCUCAACUUAUACGCGGUCCAUUCCAAUCUUUCAGCUCCUUAAAGCUUUACACGAAAAGGAAAAAUCUACACUAAGGGAAUUGUGUUUAGGUUUCGACAUUGAUGAUGAAAUGGUACAGAUUAUUUCGAAAUUAAAUGAACUACGAGGGUUGGAGUGCGGAUUUUAUGAUCCUAAGAGCGUUAGGCAUUUUGUACAACACCCAAAUCUUAAACGAUUAAGCACACUCAAUAAGGCUUCAAUAGUUACCGAUGAUUAUGCAGCUUUGCUAGAAAAACAAUGCACUGUCUCAAAUUUAGACACAAAAAUUAUUUUUAAUGCUAAGGGAAACCUAAGUAUAUUUACAGAGAAGGUGGACAUUCUUCGGUUGGGUAACUGUGAAUCGUUUUUGAAACUGAAAAACCUUAAAAAAAUAUAUGUUCCUGACAAAAUGAUCAAAUAUGAGGAAUCGACAUUGGACCGGUUUUUGGCGCUCGGUGUGGAACUGUGGAACCUUAACCCUGAUUCUUAUUCUGGCCAAGAUUAUAGUACUCUUUUAAACGAUUCCGAUGAAAAUACAUAAAUUAAACACAUACACACACGCAGACAUUUUACGGACAAACCAGAAAGGACAAGUAUUUACUUAACAAGCCAGGACACACACGAGCUCUCACCUGGCAGCAUUAACUUUUAUUGGCUCGGCACUACUACUGACCUACUUUAUAUAACACCGAGGAGGCUCAGCACACACACACACGCACACACACACACGCACACAUACACUCGCACACCUGCUGACGGGGCACACGCAUAGGAAACACACAUACAAAUACAGGGAAGAAUGAGCGGAAAAGCCCGGCUCAGCGGGCGUACUUUGAUCUAUGGCCUGACUGCCAGGCAUUUUCCUUUUCCCUCAACUUUUCCGUCAAAGACCCCGCCAUCCGCAGCUGUUAAACUUUUCGCCGAGGAGCAAGUAAUUUCUUUGCGUUGCUCGUUAAUUAAAUUAACACAGCACGCGGUCGCAGCACUGAACAGAAUAGAGGUGAGCCAAACCCAUCGGCGAUUCAAUAUCAUGUCCUUGUUGUAAAACAUCACAAGGCAAGGAUUUCCCCUCAACUUCUUCAGACUUACAGAGUCAAACGAAUUUUUUGAAACAAAAUCCCCUUCAGCGAUUUAUUUCAGUUAAAAAAAAGCUUUGUAUACUCUAUACAAUUUAUAUAUACGAUAAUAUGCUAUUUUAGUUCUAAGAUAUAUAGAAAUCAUCAAGGAAACUUGAUGAUGUGUUUCACCCAUUUCAGCGAAAUGAUUAUAUUUUUUUUUAAUCUUUAAUGCCACAGAUAUGAAUCGCAAUUCCCAUCAAGGUCGACCCAAGACGCCAUUAUUUAGACCCCUUUAAUAUUUACUUAACCCAAAGCACGAUUAAAAGAUAAACGACAGCCCACAAGUCGUAUUGUAAAUCAAACUUUAUGGACCAGGACAAAUAUUAUAUUUCGCAUAAUUCCAUCGAUGAAUACAUGUACAUAGCAGAGCUACCCACCCGCAGGAGCGGGCGUGAGAAAACAAUUUUAAAUAAUUCAAAGCCGCAGACGGGAAGCCUCCAGAUGCCCAGGGGCAUCAGAGUACGUACAGCAAUGGAAGUGGAGUAUCCUGUGGAUACAUGUGUAUGGGAUGGCAUUGGAUAAUAGUGUCUUGCAGUCAAAGUGCGUGUAUGCAAGGAAUUAUCAAGUGUUGUCAACACAGCACACACAUACACGUCGACUUCGGUCCUUUAAGGACCUCCGGCCAUAGAGCUUAUGUAAAGUGAAAGUGUGCGUGGGCGUGUCAUAAGUGUGGAACAGACCCACAGUCACCCAGAACCCCACACUUUCACUCCGCCAAUCCUCCGGCCAUCCAGUCAAACACUCUUGUUUGUGCGAUUGUCUGUGCGACAAUAAACGAACUUACACAUGCGAGAAAUGCGUCGGGCAAAGAAAACGACCGGAAAGGCAUACAUAAAUAAGUUUCCGGAUUAAGCCCACACCUCCCACGUCGCCAUUUUCUUGGGCGGACAUCCACGCCAGUUGGUGCAAUAAAACCGAAAUGGAACCGGGCCCAGGCACUACGAAUGAGCCAAUCUGAGCUCAUAUUUGGAAGAUUUUCAUCGCGCACAUGAAAGACAGAUGUGCGUUCAUACGGAUUAUAAGCGAAUGACCAUCAUACCAUCUGUACAACAUCCAGUUAAAGAAGUCAGAUAGAUAAGUUUUUCUGAUUUAUAAAACAUACGUAUGUUAUUUUACAAGUAUACUAGCUAUAAUUUCAUUAAUUUUAAUAAUUUAUCGGAUAUUAAAUGAGUUAUGCAAUUUUUAU
rnacentral:misc_RNA from 1 species